rnacentral:rRNA from 1 species
AACGAACGCUGGCGGCAGGCCUAACACAUGCAAGUCGAGCGGACCUUUCGGGGUCAGCGGCGGACGGGUGAGUAACGCGUGGGAAUAUGCCCUUCUCUACGGAAUAGUCCUGGGAAACUGGGGGUAAUACCGUAUACGCCCUUUGGGGGAAAGAUUUAUCGGGGAAGGAUUAGCCCGCGUUGGAUUAGGUAGUUGGUGGGGUAAUGGCCUACCAAGCCGACGAUCCAUAGCUGGUUUGAGAGGAUGAUCCGCCACACUGGGACUGAGACACGGCCCAGACUCCUACGGGAGGCAGCAGUGGGGAAUCUUAGACAAUGGGGGCAACCCUGAUCUAGCCAUGCCGCUUGAGUGAUGAAGGCCUUAGGGUUGUAAAGCUCUUUCAGCUGGGAAGAUAAUGACGGUACCAGCAGAAGAAGCCCCGGCUAACUCCGUG